rnacentral:tRNA from 1 species
ACCUUCGUGGUGUAGUGGUCAGCACGCUCGACGCGUAACCGAGAGGUCCAUGGUUCGAUUCCCGGAGAAGGCG